AGUGAACGCUGGCGGUAGGCCUAACACAUGCAAGUCGAACGGCAGCACAGUAAGAGCUUGCUCUUACGGGUGGCGAGUGGCGGACGGGUGAGGAAUACAUCGGAAUCUACUUUUUCGUGGGGGAUAACGUAGGGAAACUUACGCUAAUACCGCAUACGACCUACUGGUGAAAGCAGGGGAUCUUCGGACCUUGCGCGAUUGAAUGAGCCGAUGUCGGAUUAGCUAGUUGGCGGGGUAAAGGCCCACCAAGGCGACGAUCCGUAGCUGGUCUGAGAGGAUGAUCAGCCACACUGGAACUGAGACACGGUCCAGACUCCUACGGGAGGCAGCAGUGGGGAAUAUUGGACAAUGGGCGCAAGCCUGAUCCAGCCAUACCGCGUGGGUGAAGAAGGCCUUCGGGUUGUAAAGCCCUUUUGUUGGGAAAGAAAAGCAGCAGGUUAAUACCCCGCUGUUCUGACGGUACCCAAAGAAAUAGCACCGGCUAACUUCGUG
rnacentral:rRNA from 1 species